rnacentral:rRNA from 1 species
UACGUAGGGGGCAAGCGUUGUCCGGAUUUAUUGGGCGUAAAGAGUACGCAGGCGGCCUUUUAAGUCAGAUGUGAAAUCUUACGGCUCAACCGUAAUUAGCAUUUGAAACUGAAAGGCUUGAGUUAAGGAGAGGAAAGUGGAAUUCCUAGUGUAGCGGUGAAAUGCGUAGAUAUUAAGAGGAAUAUCAGUGGCGAAGGCGACUUUCUGGACUUAUACUGACGCUGAGGUACGAAAGCGUGGGGAGCAAACAGG